CGUUAUUUGUACUUGUGUGUGUGUGUGUGUUUGUGUGUGUGUGAACACUGAUACACAGACCCCAUUACAAUACCCUCUCCACUAUGGGUGGAAUGAAGCUAAUAAAAAAGGCACAAGUGGGCUCUUUCUCUUCCACAGCAGCUUCAUACCAUC